rnacentral:rRNA from 1 species
GAUGAACGCUGGCGGCGUGCCUAAUACACGCAAGUCGAGCGAACAGAUAAGGAGCUUGCUCCUUUGACGUUAGCGGCGGACGGGUGAGUAACACGUGGAUAACCUACCUAUAAGACUGGGAUAACUUCGGGAAACCGGAGCUAAUACCGGAUAACAUAUUGAACCGCAUGGUUCAAUAGUGAAAGGCGGCUUUGCUGUCACUUAUAGAUGGAUCCGCGCCGUAUUAGCUAGUUGGUAAGGUAACGGCUUACCAAGGCAACGAUACGUAGCCGACCUGAGAGGGUGAUCGGCCACACUGGAACUGAGACACGGUCCAGACUCCUACGGGAGGCAGCAGUAGGGAAUCUUCCGCAAUGGGCGAAAGCCUGACGGAGCAACGCCGCGUGAGUGAUGAAGGUCUUCGGAUCGUAAAACUCUGUUAUCAGGGAAGAACAAAUGUGUAAGUAACUGUGCACAUCUUGACGGUACCUGAUCAGAAAGCCACGGCUAACUACGUG